AUACGUAGGUGGCAAGCGUUGUCCGGAUUUACUGGGUGUAAAGGGGGCGCAGGCGGGAAGCUAAGUUGGAUGUGAAAUACCGGGGCUCAACUCCGGAGCUGCAUCCAAAACUGGUUUUCUUGAGUGGAGUAGAGGCAAGCGGAAUUCCGAGUGUAGCGGCGAAAUGCGUAGAUAUUCGGAGGAACACCGGUGGCGAAGGCGGCUUGCUGGGCUCUAACUGAGGCUGAGGCCCGAAAGCGUGGGGAGCAAACAGGAUUAGAUGCCCUGGUAGUCCACGCCGUAAACGAUGAUUACUAGGUGUGGGGGGUCUGACCCCUUCCGUGCCGCAGUUAACGCAAUAAGUAAUCCACCUGGGGAGUACGGCCGCAAGGCUGAAACUCAAAGGAAUUGACGGGG
rnacentral:rRNA from 1 species